UCAAGAUUACUGGGCGUAAAGCGUGCACCAGGCGGUUCGGAAAGAAAGAUGUGAAAUCCCAGAGCUUAACUUUGGAACUGCAUUUUUAACUACCGAGCUAGAGUGUGUCAGAGGAGGUGGAAUUCCGCGUGUAGCAGUGCAAGUGCGUAGAUAUGCCCGGAGGAACACCGAUAGCGAAGGCAGCCUCCUGGGAUAACACUGACGCUCAUGCACGAAAGCGUGGGGAGCAAACAGGAUUAGAUACCCUGGUAGUCCACGCCUAAACGAUGUCAACUAGCUGUUGGGGCCUUCGGGCCUUGGUAGCGCAGCUAACGCGUGAAGUUGACCGCCUGGGGAGUACGGUCGCAAGAUUAAAACUCAAAGAUUGACGGGGACCCGCACAAGCGGUGGAUGAUGUGGAUUAAUUCGAUGCAACGCGAAAAACCUUACCUACCCUUGACAUGUCUGGAAUCCCGAAGAGAUUUGGGAGUGCUCGCAAGAGAACCGGAACACAGGUGCUGCAUGGCUGUCGUCAGCUCGUGUCGUGAGAUGUUGGGUUAAGUCCCGCAACGAGCGCAACCCUUGUCAUUAGUUGCUACGAAAGGGCACUCUAAUGAGACUGCCGGUGACAAACCGGAGGAAGGUGGGGAUGACGUCAAGUCCUCAUGGCCCUUAUGGGUAGGGCUUCACGUCAUACAAUGGUCGGGACAGAGGGUCGCCAACCCGCGAGGGGGAGCCAAUCCCAGAAACCCGAUCGUAGUCCGGAUCGCAGUCUGCAACUCGACCGCGUGAAGUCGGAAUCGCUAGUAAUCGCGGAUCAGCAUGUCGCGGUGAAUACGUUCCCGGGUCUUGUACACACCGCCCGUCACACCAUGGGAGUGGGUUUUACCAGAAGUAGUUAGCCUAACCGUAAGAGGGCGAUUACCACGGUAGGAUUCAUGACUGGGGUGAAGUCGUAACAAGGUAA
rnacentral:misc_RNA from 1 species